UACGUAGGGUCCGAGCGUUGUCCGGAUUCAUUGGGCGUAAAGAGCUCGUAGGCGGCUCAGUAAGUCAGAUGUGAAAUCUCAGGGCUCAACCCGGAAACUGCAUCUGAUACUGCUGUGGCUUGAGUCUGGUAGGGGAACACGGAAUCUCUGGUGUAGCGGUGAAAUGCGCAGAUAUCAGAGGGAACACCGAUGGCGAAGGCAGUGUUCUGGGCCAGUACUGACGCUGAGGAGCGAAAGCGUGGGGAGCAAACAGG
rnacentral:misc_RNA from 1 species